rnacentral:lncRNA from 1 species
CUUAGAUAUUUUUUUUUAAUUCAUCGGGUUGGGUUGGGUUGGGUUGGGUUUAAAUCAUAACCCGAAACCCAACCCAACCCAACCCAAUUGAACUUAAAAAACCAACCCAAACCAACCCGAAUUGAACUUAAAAAACCAACCCAAGGUUUGGGCUGAUUGGGUUGAGCGGGUUGGGUUAGGUUUUGCCCAGCCCUAUCUGCAACCUGGUUACCUUCUCUGUAGAUGUGAAAAACUGUGUCUCUGUCAAGGCAAAUGAAGUCUCUGAUUUGUCUUAGAAUACCCUAAAUCGUCCAUGGUCCUCCACCUUUUGUGAUGCAGUGAAUGGCCAGCGUUGAAUCUACCUCAAUCCAAAUAGUUGAUAUCCCAAGUCCUCUGGUCAAUAAAACCCCAUCUAGUAUAGCUCUGAGCUCAGCCUUCAAAAUCAAACAUGUGCCAUACGAUGCUGAAAAUGCCCUGAUGCAGUAUCAUGUGUGGUCCCUAAUGAUGCCUCCACCACUCGCAAUUCCGUCCUUGACGCAUUCGUCAGUGUUGAUCUUAUAGGAUCCUAUUAGUGGAGUGCACCAAACAACCAUGAUUGAUGGUGGUGGGAUAGGAUGGGUCAUAGAAAUGCCAAAAAGGGGUGCAAGUGUCACAUCCCCUCGCCAAUGUACAACUCGGAACAAUCCUCCCAUAUGAAGAAAAGAGAUCAUGCGGUAGACCCUCCAAACAAUACAGCUGGCCACCAUACUAACACCUCUAUGUUUUGCAUCAUUCCUCUCAGUCCAUAGAAACCAAAAUAUCAGUAGAAGAAUGAUGGUACGAAUGUGCCCACGACUAAUAUGUUGACCAGAAUACCGCCAUCUCUAGAACCUCUGUCGGACCCCCUCCCCUGCAGUCAUAGGUAUCAAAAAGAUGUCUCCAAAGUGCUGCCAUACCUGGUCGGAGAUUCUGCUGCUCGUGAAAAUAUGAUUGAUGGUCUCAAUCUCAGAACAACACUGACAACGAGAAGCCAAUUGACAUCCAAUUCUCCUCUGAAUAAUCACAUCUACAGGAAUGAGAUCCUGCCAUAGUCUCCAACAGAAGAAUGAAAUAGUGGUAGGCAAAAUAGGGCUCCAUAGUAAUUGAUACGAAUCUUGAGGCUGGCGAACCGAAUGGACUAGCUGCCUGCUGAUUUGGUGGUAAAGUUACCAUCCGAUGUAAUCCUCCAAACAAUUCAAUCCGGGGCAUUUGCACAUAGAGGUAUGGCUCCUAUUUGUUCCGCCAUUUGAGGAGGAAGAGUCUAUAAUUAACCGUCCAAAAUCUCGAAACAGCCACUAGAGCUUCAUGAAGAAGGUGUCCACCACAUCCUGUAAUCUCCUGAAGCCGAAGCCCCCCUAAUCUGUAGGAAGGCGAAUCUCCUUCCAACUCCUCCAAUGUAGGCAUCUAACAUGAUCCUUAGAAUCCCAUAGAAAUCGGGUGAAGAUGCUCUCAAGCUUCUUUAGUACUACCUUGGACGGUUGCAUAAUCUGAAGAAGAUGCAAUGGUAUGGAGGAGAGUAC